GUUGAGAUGGUCGAGUUGGUCUAAGGCGCCAGAUUAAGGCUCUGGUCCGAAAGGGCGUGGGUUCAAAUCCCACUCUCAACA
rnacentral:tRNA from 1 species